CAAAAUAGAUCUUUACUAGUGGAAAGACCUUCAAUUGUUCUCUGAACAAUUGGUUUUUAAUUAUUUUUUUUUUUUUUCUUCCGCCUAAUUUUUUUCUUGCGUAGUUUUGUUGUUUCAAAAGAUGUCGCUUAGAUAUUUGGAAUAUGAUAUCGUAUAGUUUAUACGCUUUAAAAGUGACAACCGUGUAAUUAAAUACUUUGCGUUGUAAGAGUUAUCUCCCCAAACACUGUUUUUCUUGUGGCCACUACUCCUUCGCAACCGCAAAAGAUUACGACAAAUUUAUUUUACCAAAUUGCUCGUUACAUCUUCAGGAUUAGGAGUUUAGUUUUGACCGAAGCUAUCCGGAGACUCCAUAUAAGAGUUAUUCCCCCUUAUGUAUUUGAUAUAAGUAAUUUGCAUUUCUAACUGGUAAACCAUAAGUGAUAGAGACCUAGGGUCUUUUGAUUUGAGAUCCUUGGUCCAAAAAAAUUAAAAUUAGGUCAAGGUCAAAGGUCAAGGUCAUAUUCUAAAUUUUUAUUUUGGCUUAUUUUUACUAAUUUCCAAAACCUUAUAACAUAUCAACAUCUUAUUUUCACUAAAUUGUUAGUUGCGACAUGCCGUUACUUAUAAAUUUUGGUUGAAAGGGUGCGUAAACAAUAAAUAGGAGUUUUCACCCAUCUUAUAUUUAGAAUUAUGUGUAAAGUGAUAUAACUCAUUAACCAUACAAUAAUAAAGACCUAGGGUCUUUUGAUUUGAGAUCCUUGGUUUAUGACCUUGAAAUUAAGGUCAAGGUCAUAGGUAAUUUGCACGUUCUAGAUUUUGACCUUUGCUUUGAAUUCAUAUUUAUACAUUAUAAAGCCAUAGGAACUGACAUUUUAGAUUGAUUUUUAAUAUUUUGAUAAUAAAAUAGAUCUCUACUUGUGGAAAGACCUUCAAUUGUUCUUUGAACAAUUGGUUUUUAAUU
rnacentral:lncRNA from 1 species